GGGCGGGGGAAGUAUCGUAAUUAGUUUCGUCGCCUUUUGCUGGCGUCAUAAAGUGCCCGUCUGAAGUGUGUUACAGAGCUCAGUAGCCAGUCUCUUCGACGCGCCCGUCUGCGACAUCUUAGUUCAGGCUGCUGUGGAGUAGUAACCGCCAGAAAGGAGUCGGAAGAGGUCACACGAGGCCCUUAACACCAGCAUGCCCAAGAAUAAAGGUAAAGGAGGUAAAACCAGGCGCAGGGGUAAGAAUGAGAAGGAAUCUGAAAAAAGAGAGUUGGUGUUUAAAGAGGAUGGACAAGAGUAUGCUCAGGUAAUUAAAAUGCUGGGGAAUGGACGAUUGGAAGCAUUGUGUUUUGAUGGUGUAAAGAGGUUAUGCCAUAUCCGAGGAAAAUUGAGAAAAAAGGUAGGUGUGUAGAUUUCUUUU